rnacentral:lncRNA from 1 species
AAGAGUUGAAGUUUGAUCCAAUACUCUGCAAAUGUGGUAUUGAAGCUAAGUAUGGAUUAGUUCCUUUCGAGCUUGGUGUUGGAUAUUUUUGUGGACAUAUGGUCUAUUACGACGAGGUUGGUAUUUAUUUAUUUUUUUGCACCAGCUAUAAUGUUAUACCGGUACUUACUAUUUUUUUGUAGGAGACGAGGAAAUGCAGUUGGGAGAGUUACGACGACAAAGGAGAGGUGAUGCGCACAAUAGAGUCCAAGAGACUAAUGGGACAGAAGAUGCGUUGUGGAUCUCAGCUCGUCGAUUCGUACAUUAAC